GAUGAACGCUGGCGGCGUGCCUAAUACAUGCAAGUCGAGCGAACAGACGAGGAGCUUGCUCCUCUGACGUUAGCGGCGGACGGGUGAGUAACACGUGGAUAACCUACCUAUAAGACUGGGAUAACUUCGGGAAACCGGAGCUAAUACCGGAUAAUAUAUUGAACCGCAUGGUUCAAUAGUGAAAGACGGUUUUGCUGUCACUUAUAGAUGGAUCCGCGCCGCAUUAGCUAGUUGGUAAGGUAACGGCUUACCAAGGCAACGAUGCGUAGACGACCUGAGAGGGGGAUCGGCCACACUGGAACGGAGACACGGGCCAGACUCCUACGGGAGGCAGCAGUAGGGAACCUUCCGCAAUGGGCGGAAGCCUGACGGAGCAACGCCGCGUGAGUGAUGAAGGUCUUCGGAUCGUAAAACUCUGUUAUUAGGGAAGAACAAAUGUGUAAGUAACUAUGCACGUCUUGACGGUACCUAAUCAGAAAGCCACGGCUAACUACGUG
rnacentral:rRNA from 1 species